UACGGAGGGUGCAAGCGUUAUCCGGAUUCACUGGGUUUAAAGGGUGCGUAGGUGGGCAGGUAAGUCAGUGGUGAAAUCUCCGAGCUUAACUUGGAAACUGCCAUUGAUACUAUUAGUCUUGAAUUUUGUUGAGGUAGGCGGAAUAAGUCAUGUAGCGGUGAAAUGCUUAGAUAUGACUUAGAACACCAAUUGCGAAGGCAGCUUGCUAAACAAACAUUGACGCUGAGGCACGAAAGCGUGGGGAUCAAACAGG
rnacentral:rRNA from 1 species